UGUGAGGGUGAGUACGUCCGCACGAAGCUGACGAUCUUCUUGCAGUCCCCGCACUCGUUGACAGCCCGGAGCACGGCCCUGAAGGCCCUCCUGAUAGCCCGGCCCGGCCCGAAGUCCGUUACCUUGGGCUUGCGGCAGUAGAUGCACCCGACGAGGUUGCCGUCCUCGUACAGGUAGUUCUUCCGGACGAACCAGGGGCCGCCCGAGAAGACAGCGUAGUCGAUGGAAGGCAGCUCCGCUGUCCACCGGGGGUCGGCUCUGUCGAGGUGCAAGUCGAAACUGCCCGUAGCGGUGCCGUUGACUAUGAGCUCGGUGGCAGCGAAGAGGAACUGCGACCAGAAUACGGUUAGUGCAACUCCUUUUUUCUGAUAAAAAAAAAAGAAUACGGUUAGUGUGAAGUUAUGUUUUGGAAACUUCCGUAUUGUGAAUUUGUCGUCUGCAUCUUUUUUGAUUGAUCUUGGAGUUUCUACCUGCAAACCAUAUCAAUAUACCUAAAUGAGGAUUUCCACCAACAUCUUUUAGAUCGAGCUUGUUGCAGAUGUACAAUGGCGGAUCCAGGAAGCCCCUCCCAAUUUUUGAGUUUUAAAUAUAUAUAUAUAUAUAUAUAUAUAUGUAUAUAUAUAUAAUAGAUUAAUACAUUAUUUUAGUAAUCGUACUAUCCACAUUAAUUGCUUAACAUUUUACAAUGAUUUUUUAUAUUAGUUUGUUAAAUUUGUGUUAUUUUGGUCCUAUUUUCUUUUCUGUGUUAAUUUUAAUGUUCAAUUUGAGUUAAUUCUCAAGUUAAAGUGAUGCAGUUCAGAGCAGAGCACAGGAUGCGGAGCAGAGCCGAGUUUCAGAGGCUGCACAGAGUGAAGAUCCGGUACACGUGCCCGUUGGUCCGGUGACGGAGCUAGAGCCAAGACUUCAAGGCUAAUU
rnacentral:lncRNA from 1 species